rnacentral:miRNA from 1 species
AAAUUUAGGAAGGGACUCACACACAGGUUUGUGCAAGUACAAGGUUGGCAUUUGCAUGACCUUGAGAGUGAAUGCCUCCUUUAAUUU